UACGGGGGGGGUAAGCGUUGUUCGGAAUUACUGGGCGUAAAGGGCUCGUAGGUGGCCAACUAAGUCGGACGUGAAAUCCCUCAGCUUAACUGGGGAACUGCGUCCGAUACUGGAUGGCUUGAGUUUGGGAGAGGGAUGCGGAAUUCCAGGUGUAGCGGUGAAAUGCGUAGAUAUCUGGAGGAACACCGGUGGCGAAGGCGGCAUCCUGGACCAACACUGACACUGGAGGAGCGAAAGCCAGGGGAGCAAACGGG
rnacentral:rRNA from 1 species